GACGAACGCUGGCGGCGUGCUUAACACAUGCAAGUCGAACGGAAAGGCCCUGCUUUUGUGGGGUGCUCGAGUGGCGAACGGGUGAGUAACACGUGAGUAACCUGCCCUUGACUUUGGGAUAACUUCAGGAAACUGGGGCUAAUACCGGAUAGGAGCUCCUGCUGCAUGGUGGGGGUUGGAAAGUUUCGGCGGUUGGGGAUGGACUCGCGGCUUAUCAGCUUGUUGGUGGGGUAGUGGCUUACCAAGGCUUUGACGGGUAGCCGGCCUGAGAGGGUGACCGGGCACAAUGGGCCUGAGAGAGGGCGCAGACGCGAACGGGAGGCAGCAGGGGAGAAUAUUGCACAAUGGGCGGAAGCGUGAUGCAGCAACGCCGCGUGCGUGAUGACGGCCUUUGGGUUGUAAACCGAUUUGGCCUGAGACGAAGCGUGAGUGACGGUAAUGGGUAAAGAAGCACCGGCUAACUACGUG
rnacentral:rRNA from 1 species